UCUCUCUCUCUCUCUCUCUCUCUCUCUCUCUCUCUCUCUCUCUCUCUCUCUCUCCCCCCCCCCUUCCUCCUAUACAUAUAUAUAUUAGUGAUGUAACGAAUAUUCGCAUUCGCAGAAAAUAUGCGAAUGUUUUGCGAAUAUUACUUUAGUAAAAGUUGGUCUCUUUAGAGGGAAAAAAAAAAAAAUAAAAUAAUGUAAAAAAAUUAGGCAAUUCAAUAAUUUUCUUUUAUUAAAGUUGGCCAUUCUUAAGGAUUCACAUUGUAAACGACGUAAACAAUGACUGCGUUCCGGCAAGACACUGCUACUGUAGCGCUACAGUCUUACGCGCGGGCCAACUGGCUGCACCGAACCAACAGAUCGUAAACUAAUCCCAUGAAGCUGGUAGAUGCUGUCUUCGGCACUCUAUUGUAUAUCACUACAAUAUCUUCCAGAUCAUCCUCGUUACUUCCACGCGCCUCGGUGCGCCCGUCAUCGUUUCUAGUAUCAAUUCGCUGUAUAACAGCAUCAUCUGCUAAAAGAAAAUGUUAUUCCUGCUCAAUUUGGAAAACAAAUAGGGAUUGUUCGCUAGUGUGUUCUUAAUUUUCCAUAAAAAUAAAAUCGAGGAAAAA